rnacentral:misc_RNA from 1 species
AUUUGAUACCAUUCCUCAGCAAAAUUCUCCAACAAAAACACCAGUGUAACCUAAGAUUGACUUGAGGGUGCAAUAUCCAUCACACUAACACCAAAAGUUACAAAUGUAAAAAAAGACCAGAAACUUGUUGACAAUAAGAAAAAUCCCUUCACUGAGUAACUCCAAGCCACUUUGUGAAGUUUUCAAACUCGGUGUAGUCGGAAUCUGAAAUCAUUGUCUUGAACCAACCUUUGCCUGCUGACCUGAUAGCUGAUGCUUCCUCCUUAGUGAUUUGAUGCCUCUUCUUGUCAAGUUUCUCCUUCUUAGCCUUGACUCUUUGUGCCUCGGCCAAAAGGGACAUCCUCCUCGCUGUUUUAGCAUAUGGGUUAAGCUUCAACAGCACAUUCAGGUUCUUCAAAGGAUUCUUCUUCAAUGUUGCCCUCUUGGCAUCCUUCUUGAUUGGUCGCACAACAGAUUGAACCUCAUCAGAGUUGAUGAUCCUAGCAAGAUCAGCAUUGGCCAUCUUCGGCCUAGGCAACAGAUAUCCCCUCUUCUUCUGAGAUGGCUUAUCAAAUGUACCGUAAAUCUCAUCCAAUUUCUCAUAUGCAGACUUAGUCCAUACAAUAAACCUUCCCAAAUGACCUCCAGGAGCAAGCUUCAAGAGAUUCAAUCGAUCCACGUGACAGAUUUCAACUCCAGGGAGAUUACGGAAUGCUUUAACAAGCUUAGCCCCUUCAGUUCCAUAAACAAUCAGUGGUCCUUUGCGAGAAAUGUACCUACGGUUACGCAUUUUACCUUUUCCGGGGCGAAUAGCAUGACUAUCCUUAGCUUUCUCAGCAUCAGCAUAAGCUCCAAUUUGCUUCAGGGCCUUGAUUGCAUUAGAAGUCUUCUCAAUACUCUCAACUGAAUCAGAAACAACAAGAGGAAGUUCGGGAACUGAUUCAAUACGAUGUCCACGAGCUAGGACCAGUGAAGGAACUGCAGAUGCAGCAAUGGCAGAAACAACGGCAUGGCGCUUCUGGUUAACCGGGAUCUUACGGUGCCAACGGCGCCAGGUUUUAGUCGGAGCAAACAUCCUACCACCACGACACAUGUUACCAUAAGCAGCUUGUCCAGCACGAUGAGUACCACCACCA